GAUGAACGCUAGCUACAGGCUUAACACAUGCAAGUCGAGGGGCAGCACAGUGUAGCAAUACACGGGUGGCGACCGGCGCACGGGUGCGUAACGCGUAUCCAACCUUCCCGUUACUCAGGGAUAGCCUUCCGAAAGGGAGAUUAAUACCUGAUGGUGUUCAAAUUCCGCAUGUUAUUUGAACUAAAGAUUUAUCGGUAACGGAUGGGGAUGCGUGACAUUAGAUAGUAGGCGGGGUAACGGCCCACCUAGUCUACGAUGUCUAGGGGUUCUGAGAGGAAGGUCCCCCACACUGGAACUGAGACACGGUCCAGACUCCUACGGGAGGCAGCAGUGAGGAAUAUUGGUCAAUGGUCGGAAGACUGAACCAGCCAAGUAGCGUGAAGGAUGAAGGUUCUAUGGAUUGUAAACUUCUUUAUACGGGAAUAAAACCUCCCACGUGUGGGAGCUUGUAUGUACCGUAUGAAUAAGCAUCGGCUAACUCCGUG
rnacentral:rRNA from 1 species